rnacentral:rRNA from 1 species
AUUACCUCAGUAACGGCGAGUGAAGCGGUAACAGCUCAAAUUUGAAAUCUGGGCCUUUCAGGCUCCGAGUUGUAAUUUGUAGAAGAUGCUUUGGGUGCGGCCCCGGUCUAAGUUCCUUGGAACAGGACGUCAUAGAGGGUGAGAAUCCCGUAUGUGAUCGGUGGCUUGCGCCCGUGUAAAGCUCUUUCGACGAGUCGGGUUGUUUGGGAAUGCAGCUCUAAAUGGGUGGUAAAUUUCAUCUAAAGCUAAAUAUUGGCCAGAGACCGAUAGCGCACAAGUAGAGUGAUCGAAAGAUGAAAAGCACUUUGGAAAGAGAGUUAAACAGUACGUGAAAUUGUUGAAAGGGAAGCGCUUGCAACCAGACUUGCGCGGGGUUGAUCAUCCGGGGUUCUCCCCGGUGCACUCGGCCCCGCUCAGGCCAGCAUCGGUUUUGGUGGUUGGAUAAAGGCCUUGGGAAUGUGACUUCUUUCGGGGAGUGUUAUAGCCCUCGGUGCAAUGCAGCCUACCGGGACCGAGGACCGCGCUUCGGCUAGGAUGCUGGCGUAAUGGUUGUAAGCGACCCGUCUUGAAACACGGACCAAGGAGUCUAACAUCUAUGCGAGUGUUUGGGUGUCAAACCCAUGCGCGUAAUGAAAGUGAACGGAGGUGAGAACCCUUAAGGGCGCAUCAUCGACCGAUCCUGAUGUCUUCGGAUGGAUUUGAGUAAGAGCAUAGCUGUUGGGACCCGAAAGAUGGUGAACUAUGCCUGAAUAGGGUGAAGCCAGAGGAAACUCUGGUGGAGGCUCGCAGCGGUUCUGACGUGCAAAUCGAUCGUCAAAUUUGGGCAUAGGGGCGAAAGACUAAUCGAACCAUCUAGUAGCUGGUUCCUGCCGAAG